rnacentral:rRNA from 1 species
AACAGGGAUUGCCCUAGUAACGGCGAGUGAAGCGGCAUCAGCUCAAAUUUGAAAUCUGGCUCUUUCAGAGUCCGAGUUGUAAUUUGCAGAGGGCGCUUUGGUGUCGGCAGCGGUCCAAGUUCCUUGGAACAGGACGUCACAGAGGGUGAGAAUCCCGUACGUGGUCGCUGACCUACACCGUGUAAAGCCCCUUCGACGAGUCGAGUUGUUUGGGAAUGCAGCUCUAAAUGGGAGGUAAAUUUCUUCUAAAGCUAAAUACUGGCCAGAGACCGAUAGCGCACAAGUAGAGUGAUCGAAAGAUGAAAAGCACUUUGGAAAGAGAGUCAAACAGCACGUGAAAUUGUUGAAAGGGAAGCGCUUGCAGCCAGACUUGCUUGUAGUUGCUCAUCCGGGCUUUUGCCCGGUGCACUCUUCUGCGAGCAGGCCAGCAUCAGUUUGGACGGUUGGAUAAAGGCCUCUGUCACGUACCUUCUCUCGGGAAGGCCUUAUAGGGGAGGCGUCAUGCAACCAGUCUGGACUGAGGUCCGCGCAUCUGCUAGGAUGCUGGCGUAAUGGCUGUAAGCGGCCCGUCUUGAAACACGGACCAAGGAGUCUAACAUCUAUGCGAGUGUUUGGGUGUCAAGCCCGAGCGCGUAAUGAAAGUGAACGGAGGUGGGAUCCCGCAAGGGUGCACCAUCGACCGAUCCUGAUGUCUUCGGAUGGAUUUGAGUAAGAGCAUGGCUGUUGGGACCCGAAAGAUGGUGAACUAUGCUUGAAUAGGGUGAAGCCAGAGGAAACUCUGGUGGAGGCUCGCAGCGGUUCUGACGUGCAAAUCGAUCGUCAAAUUUGGGCAUAGGGGCGAAAGACUAAUCGAACU